GCUCGUACCGGCUCGGUGAAAUUGGUGAUUCAUGGUAACUGGUCGAAUCGCUAGGCCUUUGCGCCGGCGAUGGUUCAUUCAAGUUUCUGCCCUAUCAACUUUCGAUGGUAGGGUAUUGGCCUACCAUGGUCGCAACGGGUGACGGAGAAUUAGGGUUCGAUUCCGGAGAGGGAGCCUGAGAAACGGCUACCACAUCCAAGGAAGGCAGCAGGCGCGCAAAUUACCCAAUCCCGACUCGGGGAGGUAGUGACAAUAAAUAACAAUGCCGGUCCCUCAAGUGGUCCGGCAAUUGGAAUGAGACCAAUCCAAACCCCUUAACGAGGAACAAUUAGAGGGCAAGUCUGGUGCCAGCAGCCGCGGUAAUUCCAGCUCUAAUAGCGUAUAUUAAAGUUGUUGCAGUUAAAAAGCUCGUAGUUGGAUUUGGGGGCCCGCUUCGGUCGGAAGUUCGSYGGUSCAGCUCUUAACGGGGUUGGUUCGGCGUUCGUUCGUUCGGAGCGCUCGGCCGGKGCGGUCCGCCGAGAGGCGAGCACUGCCCGGCGGCUCCAAGUUUCUCGGAGUUUCCGUCUGCUCUUUGUUGCAGCGGUCGGAGGAUCCGGGACGUUUACUUUGAACAAAUUAGAGUGUUCCAAGCAGGCCGGUCGCUUUGAAUACGUUAGCAUGGAAUAAUGGAAUAGGGCUGGUUUGUCCUGUUUUGUUGGUUUUCGGGACGGCAGUCAUGGUCGAUAGGGACAGUUGGGGGCGUUCGUAUUCAGUUGUCAGAGGUGAAAUUCUCGGAUUUACGGAAGACGGUCAAAUGCGAAAGCAUUCGCCAAGCAUGUUUUCAUUAAUCAAGAACGAAAGUUGGGGGUUCGAAGACGAUCAGAUACCGUCGUAGUCCCAACCAUAAACGAUGCCGGCUAGGGAUCGGCGGACGUCGGGUGCGACUCCGUCGGCACCUUGCGAGAAAUCGAAGCCUUUGGGUUCCGGGGGGAGUAUGGUCGCAAGGCUGAAACUUAAAGGAAUUGACGGAAGGGCACCACCAGGAGUGGAGCCUGCGGCUUAAUUUGACUCAACACGGGGAACCUCACCAGGUCCGGACAUGGGAAGGAUUGACAGAUCGAGAGCUCUUUCUUGAUUCUAUGGGUGGUGGUGCAUGGCCGUUCUUAGUUGGUGGAGUGAUUUGUCUGGUUGAUUCCGUUAACGAACGAGACCUUAACCUGCUAACUAGUCGUGCCGUUUCCGAACGGCGGGCGCGCGUUCAAUCAUGGGCCUUGCAAGGGGUGCCGUGGUYGGGSCGCGUUCCGGUCGCGAGGCCAGGCGACUUCUUAGAGGGACACUCGGCGUUGCAGCCGAGGGAGGAUUGAGGCAAUAACAGGUCUGUGAUGCCCUUAGAUGUUCUGGGCCGCACGCGCGCUACACUGACGGAUUCAGCGAGCGUGUCCUUCGCCGGAAGGUGCGGGCAAUCUUGCGAGUCUCCGUCGUGCUGGGGAUAGAUGGUUGCAAUUGUCGAUCUUCAACGAGGAAUUCCUAGUAAGCGCGAGUCAUCAGCUCGCGCUGAUUACGUCCCUGCCCUUUGUACACACCGCCCGUCGCUACUACCGAUUGAGCGGCUUUGUGAGAAAUUCGGAUUGGAUCUGGAGGCGUUCGGCGACGUGCGCUCCAGCCUCCGAGAAGUUUUUCUAGCGGCGCCGCUU
rnacentral:rRNA from 1 species